rnacentral:rRNA from 1 species
AACGAACGCUGGCGGCAUGCCUAACACAUGCAAGUCGAACGAUUGCCUUCGGGUGAUAGUGGCGCACGGAUGCGUAACGCGUGGGAAUCUGCCCUCAGGUUCGGAAUAACAGUUGGAAACGACUGCUAAUACCGGAUGAUGACGUUAAGUCCAAAGAUUUAUCGCCUGAGGAUGAGCCCGCGUAGGAUUAGCUAGUUGGUGUGGUAAGAGCGCACCAAGGCGACGAUCCUUAGCUGGUCUGAGAGGAUGAUCAGCCACACUGGGACUGAGACACGGCCCAGACUCCUACGGGAGGCAGCAGUGGGGAAUAUUGGACAAUGGGCGAAAGCCUGAUCCAGCAAUGCCGCGUGAGUGAUGAAGGCCUUAGGGUUGUAAAGCUCUUUUACCCGGGAUGAUAAUGACAGUACCGGGAGAAUAAGCUCCGGCUAACUCCGUGCCAGCAGCCGCCGUAA